AAUAUGAAGCACAUUGCUAUUAGUUUCGACCUAAUGAUUGAUAUUAAAUUAUCCUUAUUUAU
rnacentral:tRNA from 1 species